AUUGAACGCUGGCGGCAUGCUUUACACAUGCAAGUCGAACGGUAGAGGGGGCAACCCCUUGAGAGUGGCGAAUGGGUGAGUAAUGCAUCGGAACGUGCCCAGUCGUGGGGGAUAACGCAGCGAAAGCUGUGCUAAUACCGCAUACGAUCUCUGGAUGAAAGCGGGGGACCGAAAGGUCUCGCGCGAUUGGAGCGGCCGAUGUCAGAUUAGGUAGUUGGUGGGGUAAAGGCUCACCAAGCCAACGAUCUGUAGCUGGUCUGAGAGGACGACCAGCCACGCUGGGACUGAGACACGGCCCAGACUCCUACGGGAGGCAGCAGUGGGGAAUUUUGGACAAUGGGCGCAAGCCUGAUCCAGCAAUGCCGCGUGCAGGAAGAAGGCCUUCGGGUUGUAAACUGCUUUUGUACGGAACGAAAAGGUCUGGGUUAAUACCCUGGGCACAUGACGGUACCGUAAGAAUAAGCACCGGCUAACUACGUGCCAGCCGCCGCUGUAA
rnacentral:rRNA from 1 species